rfam:Daphnia magna strain Xinb3 scaffold01581, whole genome shotgun sequence.
CCAUCGGCCCUUUUCAGGGCCACUAACUUAAUGAAACGAAAUUCG